rnacentral:rRNA from 1 species
GGUGCACCAGGCGCGAAAACUUUACAAUGCGGGAAACCGUGAUAAGGGGACACCGAGUGCCAGCAUCAUAUGCUGGCUGUCCGGGUGUGUAAAAUACACCCGUUAGCAAGGGCCGGGCAAGACCGGUGCCAGCCGCCGCGGUAACACCGGCGGCCCGAGUGGUGAUCGUGAUUAUUGGGUCUAAAGAGUCCGUAGCCGGUUUGGUCAGUCCUCCGGGAAAUCUGACGGCUCAACCGUUAGGCUUUCGGGGGAUACUGCCAGGCUUGGAACCGGGAGAGGUAAGAGGUACUACAGGGGUAGGAGUGAAAUCUUGUAAUCCCUGUGAGACCACCUGUGGCGAAGGCGUCUUACCAGAACGGGUUCGACGGUGAGGGACGAAAGCUGGGGGCACGAACCGGAUUAGAUACCCGGGUAGUCCCAGCCGUAAACGAUGCUCGCUAGGUGUCAGGCAUGGCGCGACCGUGUCUGGUGCCGCAGGGAAGCCGUGAAGCGAGCCACCUGGGAAGUACGGCCGCAAGGCUGAAACUUAAAGGAAUUGGCGGGGGAGCAAAGG